GCUCAGUGGUAGAGCAUGUGCUUAGCAUGCAUGAGGUUCUGGGUUCAAUCCCCAG
rnacentral:tRNA from 1 species